rnacentral:rRNA from 1 species
GAAUUCGGUGAAUCAUCAAAUCUUUGAACGCACAUUGCGCCCGCCAGUAUUCUGGCGGGCAUGCCUGUCCGAGCGUCAUUU